rnacentral:rRNA from 1 species
CAACCUGCCUUCAGGAUGGGGACAACAGACGGAAACGACUGCUAAUACCGAAUAAGUUCCAAGAGCCGCAUGGCCCAUGGAAGAAAAGGUGGCCUCUACCUGUAAGCUAUCGCCUGAAGAGGGGUUUGCGUCUGAUUAGCUGGUUGGAGGGGUAACGGCCCACCAAGGCGACGAUCAGUAGCCGGUCUGAGAGGAUGAACGGCCACACUGGAACUGAGACACGGUCCAGACUCCUACGGGAGGCAGCAGUGGGGAAUCUUCCGCAAUGGGCGAAAGCCUGACGGAGCAACGCCGCGUGAGUGAUGACGGCCUUCGGGUUGUAAAACUCUGUGAUCCGGGACGAAAAGGCAGAGUGCGAAGAACAAACUGCAUUGACGGUACCGGAAAAGCAAGCCACGGCUAACUACGUGCCAGCAGCCGCGGUAAUACGUAGGUGGCAAGCGUUGUCCGGAAUUAUUGGGCGUAAAGCGCGCGCAGGCGGCUUCCCAAGUCCCUCUUAAAAGUGCGGGGCUUAACCCCGUGAUGGGAAGGAAACUGGGAAGCUGGAGUAUCGGAGAGGAAAGUGGAAUUCCUAGUGUAGCGGUGAAAUGCGUAGAGAUUAGGAAGAACACCGGUGGCGAAGGCGACUUUCUGGACGAAAACUGACGCUGAGGCGCGAAAGCGUGGGGAGCAAACAGGAUUAGAUACCCUGGUAGUCCACGCCGUAAACGAUGGAUAC